GUGAGGAAUAUUGGUCAAUGGGCGCAAGCCUGAACCAGCCAUGCCGCGUGCAGGAAGACGGUCCUAUGGAUUGUAAACUGCUUUUAUUUGGGAAUAAACUCCGGUACGUGUACCGGCCUGAAGGUACCAAAUGAAUAAGCACCGGCUAACUCCGUGCCAGCAGCCGCGGUAAUACGGAGGGUGCAAGCGUUAUCCGGAAUCCUUGGGUUUAAAGGGUCCGCAGGCGGUCUUAUAAGUCAGUGGUGAAAGCCUACAGCUCAACUGUAGAACUGCCAUUGAUACUGUAGGACUUGAAUUCGAUCGAAGUGGGCGGAAUGUGACAUGUAGCGGUGAAAUGCUUAGAUAUGUCACAGAACACCGAUAGCGAAGGCAGCUCACUAGGUCUGGAUUGACGCUCAGGGACGAAAGCGUGGGGAGCAAACAGGAUUAGAAACCCCAGUAGUCC
rnacentral:rRNA from 1 species